CAGAUCUAUCUCUUCCAGCUU
rnacentral:miRNA from 1 species